CCGCUGGCCCAAAUCCCAUUUACCUGAUAUCGCUUCCCCUUAGACACGAAAAGGUCCUGUCUCAUGCCCCUUUUUUCGAAUCCCUUAUUCACUUCUCACCUUCUAAAAAACGAAAAGAUAGAAGCUAUCAUCCCUCAUUCUGAGAACGGAUCAGAAACCAAGGUUUGAAGAACAAAACAAAUAAAGAAUGGAUAGAAAAAGGAGUUCCGGAAUUGCUUAGAGUUGGUGGCUGUUGAUUUCAGUGUUUUCUUCAAUUUAUUCUUUGGGAUCUCCGGAUAUCGUUUCUGUACCAAAACGCUGUUGAUUUUGAUUUGCUGAGAUGCUAUUCGAUUUCUGGCUCCUUGCUUUCUCCCUUUUCAAAUUUAUGCUAGAGAAAGUAGGUAUGUUCCUUUUCACCCCUGUAUUUGAGCUUUGGUUUCAGAUGAAGUCACAAUUGAAGUCUAAGAAGGAUUUUUAUUGAAUUGGUAUAACAUUCUGUGUGCUCAUAAUCUUUAAAUUAAAGAAGUUUAACUCCAAUAUCUUAGUUUCCCGUGGGUUUUUAGUAGUUGAAGUACUAGUUGGAAUUUGUGACUGCAUUAAUUGGAUGUUCAUUAAAGUUAAUUUUUCUAUGAAAUUAUUUGUUCAACCAUCAAAUUCCUGAGUCGUUGAUUGAAUAGGACUGUUUUGUAUACUGCCUCCCUAGGUAUUAUUGUGGGUUCAUAUUGAGAAGGACUGGUGUUUGCUUGCUUGAAUGAUUAUUAUGCAAUAAAAUGACGUCCAUAUAUGUGUGCUUGCAACCAUGCCUAAUGUUGAUGAUAAGCAAAUUCAAAAGUAAAGUGAGAAAUGGGUAUGACAGUAGACGUGUCGAUUUUGGAAUUGGUCACCAUUUUUAGCCUUUUUUUUGUAUGUCUGUUUCUUUCUGUUUUUGAUUUUUGAGAACAAAUCAAAGAAAACUUAACGUGAUUUUUAAGACUCUAAAUUCAGUUCUUGGUGUAGCAUUCUCUUGAAGUCACUGGUAAUGGACAUUUUGUUUUGGUAAUAAAUUUUCCUAAACAUUAAAGCAAUAGCUGUAAACUUUUACUGUUGUAUAGUUCCAUUACUCAUGAUAUGGCUAUCAGUAGGUGUCGUUGUUUUGUUGUUAGAUAUCUUUUAAUAAAUCAAAUUCGAAUGUCAAAGUUAGAGUCACUAAAUGACAUCUGCGAGCCAAGCAGUUUAGGAAAGCAAUUUAUAAACAUUGUAGUUUGCUUUAGUUGAGUAAAACCUUUCGAAAUAAAUUGAGACGUGCCAUGACGAAUAAAAUCCCAAAAAACCCAUGGCCCUCAUUUAAUUAAUUUAAAUUCUUUAGAAUCCGGGAUGAGCCGUUUAGCGAAUUUCACGGCCUUUCCCAAAUAACAUGGCGCUAGACUCUUUAGGCGCAAUUUAAUCAAAUCACUUUCUUAAACUCGGGUGCGCAUUGAUGCGACCCAAAUCCAAGUCUCGACGAAGUCGAAUUGUGUGGACGACCACGGGUGCCUUGAUGGCGACGAGGUUAGAAACACGUUUUCAUGACGUCGUAAUUCUUAUAAAACAAAUAACGAUAAAAAAUGAUUCAAAAAUGGAGAUGAGCCUCAUAGAACAAGAAUAAAUGUGGGGCCCUCAAUAAUUGGUUGUUAAAAAUGAUUAGAAUUUGGAAGGGCCAUUUAGCAAAUUUCAAUGGCCUUUCCCAAAACAAUAUUACGCUAGAACCUUUAAGUGCGAUUUAAUUAAAUUACUUCCUUAAACUCGGGUGCGGAUUGAUGUGACCCAAAUCCAAAUUUCGACGAAGUCGAAACGUGUUGACGACAAUGGGUGGCUUGAUGGCGACGUGGUCAGAGACGCAUUUUCACGACGUCGCAAGUCUUUUAAAACAAAUAAUAGUAAAAGCGGUAUACGAAUAAAAGGCACAUAAGCUAGCAUGUAUUAAAAUCGGAUAAAAUCAAAUACGACAGUUGAGCGACCGUGCUAGAACCACGGAACUCGGGAACGCCUAACACCUUCUCCCGGGUUAACAUAAUUCCUUAUCCGGAUUUCUGGUUCGCGGACUGUUAACAGAGUCAUGAUCUUCCUCGAUUCGGGAUUCAAAUCAGUGACUUGGGACACCAUUAAUUUCCCAAGUGGCAACUCUGAAUAAUUAAUAAACUAAAUCCCGUUUCGAUUGUCCUUUAACUGGAAAAACUCCUUUACGCUCCUUUGCGGGGUGUAUAGUCCUACUGGAGAACAGAGACAUACAAUUUAAGGUUCAGCAAUCAGGAGCCCGCCUGAAGGACAGAUGUGAUAAAAUUCAUUUUUAGUUUUCAAUCUUCUUUGUCUAGUUUGAAGUCAGGAGUGCGCAUGGAGAACAAAGACAUACAAUUUAAGGUUCAGCAAUCAGGAGCCCGCCUGAAGAACAGAGGUGAUACAAUUCAUUUUUAGUUUUCAAUCUUCUUUGUCUAUUUUGAAGUCAGAAGUCUGCCCGGGGAAUAGAGACAUGCAUUUCGAAUUUUAGUAGUCAGGAGUUCGCCUGGAGAACAGAGACAUGCAUUUCGAAUUUUAGUAGUCAGGAGUCCGCCUGGAGAAUAGAGACAUUUGUUUCAAAUUUCAGUGGUCAGGAGUCCGCCUGGAGAACAGAGAAUACAAUUCAAUUUUCAGCAAUCAGGAGCCCGCCUGAAGAACACAGGCGAUACAAUUCAAAUUUUAGUUUGCAAUCGAUUUCUUUGUCGUUUUGAGGUCAGGAGCCCGCCUGGAUUGCAGACGAAUACAUUCAAGUUCAUGUUCAGCAGUCAGGAGCCCGCCUAUAUAAUAGAGGAAUACUUUCAAGUUCAAGUUCAACAGUCAGGAAUCCGCCUGGAUAACAGAGAUUCAAUUUCAAGUCUAGCAAUCAGGAGUCCGCCUGGAUAACAGAGGAAUAAAUUCAAGUUCAAGACUAUUCAAUUUCAGCAAUUUGGAGAGAAAUGACAAUAUUGCAGUCAGCAAGUUGAAGUAACAACGAUGGAUUUCACCAAGAGAAUACAAGGCAACAAGACAACAAGGAAGUAUACGAACAAAUUUGAAGAAUUUAGAUAGGAAUUUUGUAAUUCGUAGUUCAUAGCUUAGGCUAGUUUCAUUUAUGUUUGAUUGGUGUAAUAAGGAAGGUCAGCGAGCAGUAGCAGCAACAAUCGUAGUGAAAUCACACCUCCUGGUAGUCCCAGCUACCAGACAUUCCCGAACUACACUGACCUAAUUCCUGUUUAGCCCAGGAUAUGUAUGCAGCCUCUGAAGCAGUUUGCGGUCAAGCUUUUCAAAAAUGCUUCAAACAGAAUUUUCAAACGGGCAAAAAUCGCUCAUAUUUGCUCACUUGUCUUUGCUUGAAAACAUUUCAUGUUUCCAAGGAAAGAGGGGCAGCUGUGAGCACGUGAAUUUUGCCCUAUAUAUAUGAAUUAUUCCCAUAAUAUUCUAACAAAAAUAUUUUUCCUUAUUUUUACAAUUUUUGUAAAUUUUGUGUUAAUCGUUUACAUUUUAUUUGUGCAUGUUAAUAUAUAUGAAAAUACAAAAACAUGCAUUUGCAUUUAGGAUUUAAAUUCAUAUUUUAGUAUUAAUUAUAGGUUAAUUUAUUUUAGAACAAAACAUGAAAAAUCACAAAAUUAGUUAACUUCUGCAUUUUAAUUAUUUUUUUUUUUGUGAAUUUAUCAUGAAAUAGUUUUUAAACAAUUUUUGGAAUUAAUUAGUCUUUGCUUUGAAAUGUAUUAGGAUUUUAUGUUAAUUUUGCAUCUUUAUAAAAAUUAGAAAAAAAAUUAAAAAAAAAAGAGAGAAAAGGGAAAUGAAAGAGAAGAAAAUAAGAGUUAAAAAGGUGAUCUGAAUAAAGACCAAAAAUUUGGGCUGAACAAAUUGUAAUUCGUUGGCCCACGAUUGAUCAACCAUUUCAGGCCCAUUUACUAUGCCCAACCCAGUCUGAACCGUCGAGGUUCUUUUGAUCAAACGGCUCAGAGGCGGGGUAGGCGUACUAUAAGAGUGUCCGAACGCCCCCCCCCUCCCCCCGAGUUCCUUGUCUUCCUCACCCUACCUCUCCUCUCAAAUCCUAAUCCAAGCCGCCACAAACCCCACCGCCUAAGGUGGCGGCGCCUAUGCAAACCAUAACCAAACAUACACCCCUCACUCUCCUAACUCUCCUCUUUCCAACCAUACUAGCGGUUUCCCUCGAACCAAACCCAGGCUCCUCGAAUAUGCAUUUGAAAUUCGGGUUCAAAACACAAAAUCGUCCAAAUGAUCCCAAAUUGAUACCAGAUAGUCUCCGGCAUUUCCUCAUCUCGAAUCUUUGGUCAAAACCCUUCAAAUCUCACUGGAGCUCAACGAAUCUCAAAUCUAGGAUUUUCAAGUGUGUCUGCCAUUUGAAGCUUCGUUAUCGGGUGAAUUUUAUUAAUAUUAUGAGUUUAUGUUGACAAAGAUAAAAUUGUAAUAUUAUUUAUAUAUCGUUCCAGAAAUCAUUUAAGUUUGGAUUAAUACAUAUGUCAUUCUUUCAUUUUUUUAGUAUUCGAUUUAGUUUGUCAUGUCAAGCAUGGCUCUAAUUUCUGAAUGUUUAAUUAGUAAUUUCUUUGUGAUAUAAUUCUGUCGACUAGAUGUUUAGUGAUACAUGUUUCUAUUAGUUCUUAGUUUUAAUUUCCAUUCUUGUUUGUUCAGCUUGUUUUGUUUUGUUUAAUUUAGUUAGUCAACCAUUAGUAUAAUUGAUUAGGUGUUAACUCAUUUUGGAUUAGUUAAAUAAUUAUUUUUAGUCAAAUAUUUUGUUCAAAAUUUUUUUCUGCUUGGUCUUCCUGUUACUUUAAUUCCGUGAUAAAUUAGGUUAAUCAAUUAUAAGAUUUAAUUAGCUUAAUUGGUGGUUCAGUAUAGUGGAUGUUGUACUAGAGUCUUUAUGAUUUGGUUUGGAUAUAGCUGAGUAGAUCAUUUAUUAAUUAAAUUUAGUUAAAUGCUAGCUAGGGUGAGGGGAUUGGGAUCAAUUAAUCUUAGUAUGUAAAUUUUGGACAAUUGGAAGGGCAUUUUAGGCAUAGAAAAGCGUAGUUUCUUUAGGAAUAGUAAUUUCAAAGCAGGGGUAAGGGUAGUAUAGCUAUUUUGGGGGUAGAAGAGCAUCUUAGGGCUUUAUAGAAGGGUACUUUAGUGUAGAUAUUAGCACAAUAAAGGUAUUUACUUGUUGAGCAGGUCAAAAAUAAAGGGACCAAACUGAAAAUAGAAAAGGACUAAAAAAGAAAUCAAAUAAUCUAAUUUACCCCCGUCUUGUUGGCUAUAAAAGGGCAUAAAAUGCCUUGGGAAAAAGGUCUUCAAUUUUUCAGCCCAAAAAAAUCCCACCAAAAAGCUUUUCUUCUUUUACUAAAAUUCAGAUUAGCAAUCUGAAUUCGAAAUAGAAAAUACAUAAAAAAUUAAGAACAGAAAACCAAAAAAAAAAUCACUGUUUCAUAGCAUUUUCAGUCGACCUUCAAUUUCUGCCUUUGUGUUUUUCAGUUCUAUUCUAUAUUUGAGUGUUUGGGCAGCAUCAGGGGAAUUUGAGUUUGUUUGGUUAAAGCAUUGGUCGUCUAAACUCAACAGCUGAAGAAAUCUGCUAGUUUUUGGUAUAAUUUCAACAAUACUCGAGUGUGUUCCAACAGUUUGUGGUAGUUUGCUUGGUUGUGGCCUGAUUUCAAAGCUAUUCAUGGUUGUUUGAGCUAAGAUCUAGUUGUUGAUUUCUGUUCGUGUGGGCUGAUGCUAACUGACUUUGCUUCUUCUUAAUUCUGAAAUUCCACAUUCGCAACUACAGUGAUGUAACCACACUCUGACUGAAAUGCCAUUGUAUUGAUUAAUCUGUGUUCGUCUAGUAAAGUAUAUGAUGGUAAUUAUUCAGUUGAUGAGUAGUAAUGUACAUUUGACCUGUUGGAUUGGAUUUAUAAAUAGGACUAUUAAGUAGACUGAUUUAAUUGUAUUAAUUUGAGCCCUGAACUUGAGUUGAUUAGUUUGUUAACUUUGAGUGUUGGAGCUUCAGAAAGUACAAUUGAACUUUUAGCUAAGGAUUAAUUGUUGGGGGAAUUCAUACACGCUAUUCUGUUUGGAUCUCAGUGUAGAAGUGGCUCUGAUAACAUUAAAUUGAAUCUGUUUUGGAAUAUUUGCUCAUCUAAGAAUGCAUAUCAUCAAUGUGCUCAUACGUACAGUGUAAUGAAGCCACUAGUAGCAUAGUGAAUAAAAUAUGCGCAGAAUAGGAAUCAAUU
rnacentral:lncRNA from 1 species